rnacentral:rRNA from 1 species
GGAGGAAUAUUGGGCAAUGGGGGAAACCCUGACCCAGCAACGCCGCGUGAAGGAAGAAGGCCUUCGGGUUGUAAACUUCUGUGACAGGGGAAGAAAUUUGACGGUACCCUGAGAGGAAGCCACGGCAAACUACGUGCCAGCAGCCGCGGUAAUACGUAGGUGGCGAGCGUUGUCCGGAAUCACUGGGCGUAAAGGGCGCGUAGGCGGCUUAACAAGUCACAUGUGAAAUACCAGGGCUUAACUCUGGGGGGUCAUGUGAAACUGUUGGGCUUGAGUGUGGUAGAGGGAAGUGGAAUUCCUGGUGUAGCGGUAAAAUGCGUAGAGAUCAGGAGGAACACCGGUGGCGAAGGCGGCUUCCUGGGCCACAACUGACGCUGAGGCGCGAAAGCGUGGGGAGCAAACA